rnacentral:rRNA from 1 species
UACGUAGGGUGCAAGCGUUGUCCGGAAUUAUUGGGCGUAAAGAGCUCGUAGGCGGUCUGUUGCGUCGGCUGUGAAAACCCGGGGCUCAACCCCGGGCCUGCAGCCGAUACGGGCAGACUAGAGUUCGGCAGGGGAGACUGGAAUUCCUGGUGUAGCGGUGAAAUGCGCAGAUAUCAGGAGGAACACCGGUGGCGAAGGCAGCACUCUGGGCUGGAAUUGACGCUGAGGAGCGAAAGCAUGGGUAGCGAACAGG